CAGUUCGUGGGAUGAUGUAUUACCACAAGGCGCUAAAGCUGCAAGCUUUUCUUGACAAGGCUGAAGAUGAUGGUUUG